AGAGUUUGAUCCUGGCUCAGAUUGAACGCUGGCGGUAUGCUUUACACAUGCAAGUCGAACGGAUCAAGAAGCUUGCUUUUUGGUUAGUGGCGAACGGGUGAGUAAUAUAUCGGAACAUAUCCGGAAGUGGGGGAUAACGUAGCGAAAGUUACGCUAAUACCGCAUAUGCCCUGAGGGGGAAAGGGGGGGAUCGCAAGACCUCUCGCUUUCGGAGUGGCCGAUAUCGGAUUAGCUAGAUGGUGAGGUAAAGGCUCACCAUGGCGACGAUCCGUAGCUGGUCUGAGAGGACGACCAGCCACACUGGAACUGAGACACGGUCCAGACUCCUACGGGAGGCAGCAGUGGGGAAUUUUGGACAAUGGGCGAAAGCCUGAUCCAGCCAUACCGCGUGAGUGAAGAAGGCCUCCGGG
rnacentral:rRNA from 1 species